AGAGUUUGAUUCUGGCUCAGAAUGAACGCUGGCGGCGUGGAUAAGACAUGCAAGUCGAACGAAAACACUGAAUAGCUUGCUAAUUAGUGUUUUAGUGGCGGACGGGUUAGUAACACGUGAGCAACCUGCCUCGAAGCGGGGGAUAGCCUUCCGAAAGGGAGAUUAAUACCGCAUGUGGCCCCCUUUGAUUAGGGUGGUUAAAGGUGCCUUCGGGGAUCGCUUCGAGAUGGGCUCGCGGCAUAUCAGCUUGUUGGUGAGGUAAUGGCUCACCAAGGCUACGACGGGUAGCUGGUCUGAGAGGACGAUCAGCAACACUGGAACUGAGACACGGUCCAGACACCUACGGGUGGCAGCAGUCGAGAAUCAUUCACAAUGGGGGCAACCCUGAUGGUGCAACGCCGCGUGGAGGAUGAAGGCCCUAGGGUCGUAAACUCCUGUCAUAUGAGAGUAAGGCAUAUGUGUUAAUACCAUGUAUGUUUGAUAGUAUCAUAAGAGGAAGGGACGGCUAACUUCGUGCCAGCAGCCGCGGUAAUACGAAGGUCCCGAGCGUUAUUCGGAAUCACUGGGCGUAAAGAGUACGUAGGCGGUUUGGUAAGUCAGGUGUGAAAUCCCGGAGCUCAACUCCGGAACUGCAUCCGAUACUGCUAGACUAGAGUAAUGGAGAGGCAGGUGGAAUUCUCGGUGUAGCAGUGAAAUGCGUGGAUAUCGAGAGGAAGACCAAUGGCGAAGGCAGCCUGCUGGACAUUUACUGACGCUGAGGUACGAAGGCCAGGGUAGCGAAAGGGAUUAGAUACCCCUGUAGUCCUGGCAGUAAACGGUGCGCGCUUGGUGUAGGAGGACUCGACCCCUUCUGUGCCGGAGCUAACGCGUUAAGCGCGCCGCCUGGGGAGUACGGUCGCAAGACUAAAACUCAAAGGAAUUGACGGGGACCCGCACAAGCGGUGGAGUAUGUGGUUUAA
rnacentral:rRNA from 1 species